AAAAAAAAAAAAAAAAAAAAUCGUCUCAUUGCUUAAAAUUGUUGGGCUUUUAGCUCUAGUUAAUAGCGUUCUGUUACCAACUGUAUGAUCUACUGCAGAUUCUUUUUCCACCCCUUCCAGUUUUGGCUUUAGCUUGCCUAUUUUCAUUAUUUCUCUGCUCCAAACUGCUUUUGAAUGGUAGCAUGACUUUGCUUCUAUCUAAAGAUGAUUAUUUUUAGUUAUUGUCUCCACAAUAUUUUUAUUCCAGGAAGUUUUGCUUUGGAUUAAA
rnacentral:misc_RNA from 1 species